CACCUAUUCUGGGGUAAAUGAACCACCAACUCCCACUGACCUGACAGAGCAACACAACCGGCAGUUUUCGAGGCUCUGUACCCAGUACACAGUCACCUAUUCUGGGGUAACUAGACCACCAACUACCGCUGACCUGACAGAGCACCGCGACAGGCAGCUCAGUGGU